rnacentral:rRNA from 1 species
CCUACGGGUGGCAGCAGGGAGGAAUAUUGGUCAAUGGGCGCGAGCCUGAACCAGCCAAGUAGCGUGAAGGAUGACUGCCCUACGGGUGGUAAACUUCUAUUAUAAAGGAAUAAAGUGAGGCAAGUGUGCCUUUUUGUAUGUACUUUAUGAAUAAGGAUCGGCUAACUCCGUGCCAGCAGCCGCGGUAAUACGGCGGAUCCGAUCGUUCUCCGGCUUUAUUGGGUUUAAAGGGAGCGUAGAUGGGUUGUUAAGUCAGUGGGGAAAGUUUGCGGCUCAACCGUAAAAUUGCAAUUGAUACUGGCAGUCUUGAGUACAGUUGAGUUCGGCGUCAUUCGUGUUGUAGCGG